GAUGAACGCUGGCGGCGUGCUUAACACAUGCAAGUCGAACGGAAAGGCUCCUGCUUGCAGGGGUACUCGAGUGGCGAACGGGUGAGUAACACGUGGGUGAUCUGCCCUGCACUUCGGGAUAAGCCUGGGAAACUGGGGCUAAUACCGGAUAGGACGAUGGUUUGGAUGCCAUUGUGGAAAGUUUUUCGGUGUGGGAUGAGCUCGCGGCCGAUCAGCUUGUUGGUGGGGUAAUGGCCUACCAAGGCGUCGACGGGUAGCCGGCCUGAGAGGGUGUACGGCCACAUUGGGACUGAGAUACGGCCCAGACUCCUACGGGAGGCAGCAGUGGGGAAUAUUGCACAAUGGGCGCAAGCCUGAUGCAGCGACGCCGCGUGGGGGAUGACGGCCUUCGGGUUGUAAACUCCUUUCGCUAGGGACGAAGCGCAAGUGACGGUACCUGGAGAAGAAGCACCGGCUAACUACGUG
rnacentral:rRNA from 1 species